GGGAUUAAGCAGAAGCCACCGCUUCUCGCCUUGUGACAUUAAGUUGCCGGGCUAAAAACGUUGAAGACUAUAUUGUAUAGUCGUGAAGCGGGGUGGCAUUGUGCCAUUCCGCUUUUCUGCUGUCUC
rfam:Pediococcus claussenii ATCC BAA-344, complete genome.